UACAGAGGGGGCGAGCGUUGUUCGGAAUUACUGGGCGUAAAGGGCGCGUAGGCGGCCCGCUAAGUCGAACGUGAAAUCCCCAGGCUCAACCUGGGAACUGCGUCCGAUACUGGCAGGCUUGAAUCCGGGAGAGGGAUGUGGAAUUCCAGGUGUAGCGGUGAAAUGCGUAGAUAUCUGGAGGAAUACCGGUGGCGAAGGCGGCAUCCUGGACCGGAAUUGACGCUGAGGAGCGAAAGCCAGGGGAGCAAACGGG
rnacentral:rRNA from 1 species